AUACGGAGGAUCCGAGCGUUAUCCGGAUUUAUUGGGUUUAAAGGGUGCGCAGGCGGCCAUUUAAGUCAGCGGUUAAAUCGUGGGGCUCAACCCCAUUCUGCCGUUGAUACUGGGUGGCUUGAUUGCGGUCGAGGUUGGCGGAAUUCGUUGUGUAGCGGUGAAAUGCAUAGAUAUGACGAAGAACACCGUUUGCGUAGGCAGCUGACCAGAACGCAAAUGACGCUCAUGCACGAAAGGGCGGGGAUCGAACAGGAUUAGAUGCCCUGGUAGUGCGCACAGUAAACGAUGAAUACUUGUUUUCGGCGAUAUAAUGUCGGAGGCAAAGCGAAAGCGAUAAGUAUUCCACCUGGGGAGUAAGCCGGCAACGGUGAAACUCAAAGGAAUUGACGGGG
rnacentral:rRNA from 1 species